UCCGUAGGUGAACCUGCGGAAGGAUCAUUACCGAGUGAGGGCCCUCUGGGUCCAACCUCCCACCCGUGUUUAUUUUACCUUGUUGCUUCGGCGGGCCCGCCUUAACUGGCCGCCGGGGGGCUUACGCCCCCGGGCCCGCGCCCGCCGAAGACACCCUCGAACUCUGUCUGAAGAUUGAAGUCUGAGUGAAAAUAUAAAUUAUUUAAAACUUUCAACAACGGAUCUCUUGGUUCCGGCAUCGAUGAAGAACGCAGCGAAAUGCGAUACGUAAUGUGAAUUGCAAAUUCAGUGAAUCAUCGAGUCUUUGAACGCACAUUGCGCCCCCUGGUAUUCCGGGGGGCAUGCCUGUCCGAGCGUCAUUGCUGCCCUCAAGCCCGGCUUGUGUGUUGGGCCCCGUCCCCCGAUCUCCGGGGGACGGGCCCGAAAGGCAGCGGCGGCACCGCGUCCGGUCCUCGAGCGUGUGGGGCUUUGUCACCCGCUCUGUAGGCCCGGCCGGCGCUUGCCGAUCAACCCAAAUUUUUAUCCAGGUUGACCUCGGAUCAGGUAGGGAUACCCGCUGAACUUAAGCAUAUCAAUAAGCGGAGGA
rnacentral:rRNA from 1 species